UCCACCCACUUGUACACACAGUCACAAGCAGACUGAGAUUAAUGUGAUGCUUUUUUCUAUAUUCUGAAAUUCCCAGUAGAGAAACAAAAGUCCUGCUUUAACACCUGUGGAAGACCAUUCAUGUUUUUAUGGGUUCUACUAUCCACUGAUAUUAAUCAAACUUUUUUUUAAAAAAGCAUAGCAUCUUCUUGAAGUCUAAAUGAUUUCAUAUCUCGUGUGUGAAGCUCCAAGGUAUUUAUUGAUUACUCUUUGUUCCCUGAAGGGAGAUUUUUCUGGUGCUGAUUAUGUAAGCAGCUGUGUGAUUUUAGGCAGGCUACAAAUCACCGCUAGUCAGUCUGUCCAUCCCUACAUGACAGAGUCUGGGUAACUCUCCUGUUUGCCUCACUCACUGUUAGGAAGCUCAGCAUAGAGUUUCUAAAAGUAGAAGUCACAUGGCCUAUGAACCUGGCAUGUCAUUCCGGCAAAGCAGUGUUUACGUUUGCAUUGUAACAAUAAACUGCAAAUGAUCAAUGUAAUUUAGAGGAGCAGGUUUUAGUUAGAUCCACAAUAUUGGGCUCGAAUACUCAUUCUCAGAGAACGACCCUUCAGCUUUGAUUGAUGUAUCUUCAUUAUUUAUUCAGCAGCCUUGGGUUGAGCAAAGCUUAUUGUGAGCGAUGGUCAGAGUAUGUGUGGGAUAACAGCUGAAGUCUGGGGUCCCUCUUUCUGUAAAUGGUUUUGUGUAUCUGGCUUUGCUCUUGUGUUUUUUGGAUGCAGUCAGCAGCCGUAAGUUGUGUGCCGGGAUGCCAGCCAGAAAGACGUGCCGGCUGGUGUGAUAGAAGGUAGCCUUCCUCAUCCCCGAAGCCCAGCUUCCCAGUCUCUCAUCCGGGUUAUAAUCUCGUCAUCAAAUGUGGGUGUGGUCACAAAACUGGCAAGGGUAAAGGUUUCCUGCAGGUACAGGACCAAACAUGAGACAUACCUAAUCUGAGGUUUUGGGAGGGCACUGACUGUGGCGCAGUCACGGUCGGGACUUCUCUGUCUACCCGCACUACCUUCACAUCACAGUGGCAACGACUGCUGCCAGAGAUUCCGCAGCGCAGCUUCAGACUGCGCACGCAGCGAGUGAAUGGUUUGCACUUUACAUAACACGCUUGUGCCCAUAUGGAAACAUACGGUUUAAUUAUGAAAUAUAGACUUUGAUAUUUCCCUACCUAUCUUUACCACUUUGAAAUGUAUUAUGCUGGAGUGCUCGGUUCCAAAAGUUGACUCAUGUCAUACAAAUUACUGUACACAUGUGUGCAUACGCUUAACACACACACACAUACACACACACACACACAUACACACACACACGCACAAAUUAAAAGAAUUUAAAUCUUUUUUAAAAAAAUUAAUGAAUUUUGACUUGGGAUCAGGACAGGACAUCUAGAAACUUCUCCAAAGACUUUAAACAUACUCUCACUUAUAAAACAACACUCUGAAUAUUAAUUGUGAAAUCAAAAUGUAAAUUAAUUUUGUAAAACACUAAAGAUCCUUUCUCCUGCGUCAUCACAGGUGACAACGUUUAAUUUUUAUAUAAGAACUACUAAGCACACCCAUCUCAUCAGAAUAAAAUGCUUUUUAAAUGAUAAAAUCACUUUUAAAUGAAAAAUUGCCUUAAUGGAAAUCUCUUUAUGGCUUCUCCAUGAACGUUUGAUGCAUAACAUACCUUACUAUGCAUAGUUCCCUAUAGACCCACGUAGUUGAGGUCCUAUAAAAAGUUUCUGGGUGAAUGGGGUAACGAAUGGGAAGAGUUUAGAUCUUAUAUCCCAGCAAAGAGAUGCGGUGUUCUGUGACUUGAAGUUUCCUUGCUCAGUCUGUGCCUGGACACAAGCAGAAUGACUUUUUAUCGCUUUGUUUGGGGUCUCCCAGCCAUCUCAUUCUUAGCUCUUAGGGAAAUGGCUGACUUUUCAAGACCCAAGGUCGAGAGCGUCACUCUGUCUUUGUGACCAGGGAGCAAACUAUAUUAUACAGGAAAUUGCCCAGUCGUAUCUUUUUAUUUUCCUUCUGCCAUGAAUCUAACUUCCUUAGACUUAUACCAGGUAUUAAACUAGAUCCAGCAGAUAGAGUCCACCACACCAGGAAACACUGAGCUGUGCCUUCCCCUCAGAUCACUGCCCCUCCUCUCCUUUCUGGGCAAAGAUCAUUUUUCUUAAAGUUUUCCUAUCUUCAUUUUGAUGGUUGCAAGUAUGCUAUUCUGGUUGAAACUCUCUACUACUUCUCUGUAUGUGAACGUAAUCAGUGUUCUGAAACUGUGCCAUUGGUAUCCUUUGGAAAGAUUUAAGUCUUGGACCGUACACAGAGAACAGCUAAUUUUCAAAUAGGAAUGCACGAUUAAUUUGCAGAGUGAGCUUUAAAUAUUCCCAUAUAUUUUGUGUCAUUCAGAAGUCUUUAUUUUCCACUCAUUGGAAAUCAGGGCACCAUCCAAGAAUCUAGAAUUAUUAAAGUAAAUAAAUCCUAAACCUUCUGGCUUGUUCCUGGACAUAAUUACAUAGGCAAAGUCCUUGCAUUUUUUGAAGCAGAAUGCUAUUGUUCGACGCUCAAGAAGAACACUUGUAGGCUUCAUAAAUUUAAAUGGAGUGACCAGAAAACAAGAAAGGUCUACUUACUACCAGGUCACGGAUGCCUGGUAGGAGAGCUGAGAGUUUCAAUAAAGAUAUAAUUGGUAAUCUUGAAUUCAGUGGCAAGAAAAUUAUCUAUCUGUCCCUGUCAUGAGCCUCCUCUGUGAAAUCUGGAUGAGUUGAAGAGACAAAACAAGAGUUUACCAGGAAAGACCUGAAGCUAUACCUUUGAUCAUGACUGUUCAGAAGGAGUAGUUUUGCUGCUCCUGUCGUAGCAACACAGAUACCGACUUACUUAACAUUUUCCUUUUCUGUACAUCCUCGUCUCCUCUCGCAAUGCCCUUCCCUAACUUUGUCACUGGUUAAAAUAGACCACUGUACACUAAAUCUGUCCACCACAGUUAAUUACUUCGGUUGCAUGGCAGAGCAUUUCGUUCCAGUACCUGCUCUCCACGGACUUUAAAGAUAGAGUUUAAUAUUCGUUUGCAUGUUGGUUGCUGUACAUCUUAAGCCAUAAAGACCUUGUCAGGCGCUCUGAGCAAUAGUAAAUUAUUAAUUUCCAGACAAAAAAAUUAAGUGGAUUAAAGAAAGAGCUGUUGUGUAUCCCGCCAGUGGCUUUUAAGACACUGAUGUCUAUCUAUGCUUUGAAUGUGUCUAUUCUUAGCUGUUCAAACCCCAGGUGAUGAGCUCCGAGUAGCCGUCUGCUUGUAGAGAGGAGGCACUGAAUUGAAGCAACCCAACAUAUCCUGCUGGAUUCUGACUAAGGACAAAGGCUUCCUCUCUCUUACCUGCUGUCUUUCAGUUUUCUUUUUGGAAAACAUUAUGCCGAGAUAAAAGAACUGUUACUUUUUAGUAAAAAGUGGGGAGGAAAACACACACACACACACACACACACACACACACACACACACAAACAUUCAUCGUAGAUGCCCUUAUUUAUCAAAUAUUACAUAAGGGAAUUAAGAUAAAAACUGUAUAAAAGAAAAUCCAAAGAAGCAACAACUGACCACUGGCCAUCACUGAGCAAUGGUAAAAGCUUCAGGAAGUAGGAAAACUAUGGCUUGUGCUAGAUUAUAUACCUCUGUCUCCAAAGCAGACAGUUCCAUUCAGAAUUAUUGUUAUUUGACGAUGACACGCAUUUAAUUUUUCAUUUCUCUGUCAGCUUUCCCAUACAGCGGGAACCUCACAAACAAUUAAUUGGCUUUCAAACAGCAAGCAUUUGUCAGUGGCUUUUCGGAUUGCAAUAGACGGAAAGGAUUAGGGUAGCAGGAUCUUGGGGCCAGCCCAUCUUUAGGACAGCACAGGAGGCAGAGAAGAAGGUGUCUAAGUGCUGAUGUAUACACAAAGCAUCCACUUAGGAAAGCUUCGGAGGAACAGAUAGGAGGGCACAAGGCAUUGUUUAAAGAGCAUGACUUAGAGGGGCUCCUUUCUCGUCAAUAAUUUUAUAAAAUAUACACGACUCUCAUGGCUUACAUGCAUACAUUAUGUUGAGGGGCAGGAUGCCAUGAGGGUCUCCUCUCUGUUUGUGUUCCCAGAACUCUUUGAUAGAAUCAAUACACAUCGUCAAGAGCCAUUAAAAAUGACAAUGACCUCUGGUAGAAUGAAAGCGUAUGGAGCCUGUGUUUUAAAGGCCUUUCCAUUUCAUACUCAGGAGCUGGGAGGAAACCAGGACCGAUAUCUUACUAUUCUCGUGGUGAGCUGGCAUGUACAGCAUCCUGUGUUGGGUGCCUACAGUCCACAUUUAUGCUGGAACUCAUAUUGGAAAGAGCCGUCAUUUGGUUUUCAUACAAUAAACGUGUAUAUCACUUUGUGGUAGACUCAAAAGCCCAAGUUAUCCACAUGCAUACUAUUUUUUUUUAACUAAUCGUUUCAUUUCUUACUUAGAAUUAUCAGUCUUAGUCACUGUUCUACUGCUGUGAAAAGACGCCGUGACCAAGGCAACUCUAAUUGGAGGUUUGUCUUCAGGUUUGGAGGUUUAGUCCAUUAUCAUCAUGGCAGGGAACAUGGUCACAGACAGGCAGGUACUGGAGCAGUGGCCGGCAGGUACAUCCUGAGCUGUAGGCAGAGAGCAAGAGACCAGAUUUGGCCUUGGCCUUUGAGACCUCAAAGCCCACCUCCAGUGACACACUUCCUUUAACAAGGCCACACCCACUUCAGGAAGGCCACACCUCCUAGUCCUUAUAAUUUUUUCAAACAGUUCCACUUCCUGGUAACUAAACCCUCCACCAUAUGAGUCCGUGGGGACAAAUCUCAUUCAAAUCCCCAUGACCACACAGUAGCUUCACGUGUUCAUGAGGUAUAUACCAUGAUAUUCCAGUACUGUACAUGCUGUGUGAAGUUCAAAUCAUGCUAAUUAGCAUAUCUACAGCUUCUCCGGGGGGUGGCUCAGCCUACUGCCAGCCUCUCCUCUUUAUUUAAUUGUACUGUUACGUCAAGACUUGUUCGACCUAAAUAUUUAUUUAUUCUUUUAUAGGAUGAGAUGAUAGAUUCCAUUUUAAUUUCUUGGUAGAGUCCAGUAUUGAUCUUCCCACAGACAGGCACACGGAGGCAGCAGGAUGAAAGUGCUGUAACAUUAUCCCAGGAACUCUGUCCACUCACAGGACUUCACUGUGUUCUCGGCUACUCCUCUGGAAGCUUGCCUUCAGCUGAUCCCAGGGAAUGAUUUCUCUACUGGAAUAAGCUUUGGAACUGAGCUAAAAGCUGGACCAUUUUCCCGGCACCUGAAAAAUAGAAGAAUUCAACACCCGAUAUUUCCUGUUUUCAUUAACAAAAAAGGGACUUGUAACCACAUUUCCAGUUUAUCCAGGGAAGGUGACGCUGGAUGUGUGCACAGGUAGAUGGUUCACAGGGCCUCUCUAGACUUUCUGCUCAGUUUUGCUGUUUUCUGUAUUAACAAUAAAAUAUUUAAA